rfam:Punica granatum cultivar Dabenzi scaffold155, whole genome shotgun sequence.
UUAGCAGGGCAUGUGUAUCGGCCUGUACGAUGAAGAUCGAUGUGCUGUGCCGAAAGGGUUACCCCUGCAAGAUUGAUUUCUCGGUGAAGAUGGGCAGUUAUAAUUCACAUUAAUGAAUCAUUCAACUAUAAUCUUCCCCAAAUGU